GUCUACGGCCAUACCAUCCCAACACACCCAAUCUCGUCUGAUCUCAGAAGCUAAGCAGGGUCAGGCCUGGUUAUAUUUGGAUAGGAAGAGACAACCUACAGAAUGGAGGAAA
rnacentral:rRNA from 1 species